CGGAGGGUGCAAGCGUUAUCCGGAUUUACUGGGUUUAAAGGGUGUGUAGGCGGACUUUUAAGUCAGCGGUGAAAUCUCCGGGCUCAACCCGGAAACUGCCAUUGAUACUAUUGGUCUUGAAUGUUGUUGAGGUGGGCGGAACGGGUCAUGUAGCGGUGAAAUGCAUAGAUAUGACCCGGAACACCGAUUGCGAAGGCAGCCCACUAAGCAACGAUUGACGCUGAGGCACGAAAGCGUGGGGAUCAAACAGGAUUAGAUACCCUGGUAGUCCACGCCCUAAACGAUGAUUACUCGACGUUGGCGAUACACUGAUCAGCGUCCAAGCGAAAGCAUUAAGUAAUCCACCUGGGAAGUACGUUCGCGAGAAUG
rnacentral:rRNA from 1 species